GGUGUUAGGAGGACUAACGUACUCACUGCGGCUGAAAUUAGAAAUAUGUGGAAUAUCGGCAGGAUCAUUGAAACCUUUAAUACAAAAGAAAAAUGUAUUUCUUUUGCCGAAAGCGAGGGAUUAAUUCCCACGAGGAAAUUGCCGGACACAUAAACAACCAAUGGUGGUGUCAAACGCCGGCGAUACCGCAGUAGGCACAUUCCGGUGCCGGUCGCAUGAAGAGGUCCGAAAAAAUAGCUUCACCAGGGAGCCAGUUUCUAUCCAGCGCUACCAUUUGCGAUUGGUUCAAUUACUGUCGUGAGGCGGUAGUUAUAUACCAAAUAGACCAGCAGGUAGCGGUGGGUAAAAUUGGCGGCCCUGGUAAAGUUGUUCAAAUUGACGAGAGUAAAUUUGGAAAAAGAAAAUAUAAUAAAGGUAAUAAUAUCUACCACAUAUAUAUUUGUUUAUAUUAAUACUUAUGUAUAUUUUCCCCUCUUUUUAGGUAGAAGAGUAGAAGGCCACUGGGUGUUGGGUAUGGUGGAAGAUGGAAGUGACGAUCUCCGUCUGGAAGUUUGUCCGGAGAAUGUCAGAUCCGCGGAGGUGCUCAUACCGUUAAUACGGAAACAUGUUGCCCAGGGUACACAAAUACACACAGAUUGUUGGAAGGCUGCCUAUCUGGUCACGGGUAUGAGCACCGACGCGUUAACCACAGUGACCGGACUAUCCUUUUGUGUCAAGGGAUGGAACCCACACCCAAAGGAUAGAAUCCCAGUGGCGCGUAAUAAAGAGAUUUUUUGUGCGGGACAAUUACAACAACCCCGAAAACUUUACGGAUUUCAUUAUGGAGUAUACAUGGAGAAAAAAUAUUGCGAACAACCAUGAUGAUCCAUUUGUAAAGUUGCUUGAAACAAUUAAAUACACUUAUAAAUUUUGAAACCGUUUUGUUAUUUUACAAAUAAACAGAAUUGUGCAUAAAGUUAAAUGUUUAUUUACUGCAAAUUUUGAUAUUAUUUGUUAAAAAUAAAUAUGUAGAAACAAAUUAAUGAAGUAUAAAUAUAUUUAAAGUGCAAAAUGUGAAAUGUGAAAGUGAAAAAUUCAAUAUACAGUGAGAAAUAACGUGUUAAAAAUUGUUAAUUUUAUAUCUUUAAUUGCAAAUAUCUUAGAAACUAUAAGUUUGCGGCGGCAAUAAUAUAUAUUCGUAAUCUGGAGAUCCGCCCAUAUUCAUUUUAACCCCGAAAUCGUGGGACGGUAUACUAAAGUUGUCCCCCCUUCCAGACAAAGAGCUCGAGUUGCCGCGUGAAACCAGAGUGACUUCGAUCUGGAUAUUGUAGCAGGUCAAACUCCUACUUAUCCAGACUGAACUCCGACAUACAAAAUACAUGUCCUGCAUGCAAUAGGUCCCCGCAUGACACUAACCACCUUUUUGCAUGCCCAACGAACCUUACUCAUCUAACACCCCUUUCCCUUUGGUCCGACCCCGUCGAAACAACAUGUUUCCUGGGCCUCCCCGUUAGAUGACCUCAACGACAACUAGAUAUAUGCUUUCCAAUCCGGCAGGGAUAGAUAAUCGUUACAACAACAACAACCAAAUUUAAAGCAAACUAGAGUCCAUAUUAAUUAGAAUGAUUUUAAAGAAAUAUUUAUUUUCAAAAUAUAAAGAAAGUUCCUAAAAAAUAAUCAUAUGGUUUUCAUCCGGUGACUGUCAAUAAAAGAACCACACAAAGAAAAAAAAAAGCGUCCUCCCAACAAAUACCCCGCAAGUGUUGUGGUCGAUCACGAGGUAGGCAGCCUGUUUUCUCUCCACUGCGAAACGACAAUCAUCAUCAUACAAGCUCGUUUUUUGAAUACUAAUUGUUUCGGCUGCAGUGGUAUGGAGUGAGUUUGAAGAUGACGUUCCACACAAUCGUUCGGCUGUCUGUUGUGAUUGCAGCAUUUCGACGUCGAACACAGAGGUGAGUGCGUAUCUUCGCUGCUACCAGAUAGUGGUCCGGGUCAAUGUUUGGUCCUCGGAGCGUACGCACGUCUAAAUCACAGAAGAAAUGCCGUACGUCAACCACAACAUUAUCUAUUUGAAUGCGCGUGUUUCGAUGAGCAGACAGUCAUGUUGCUUGAUGAAUUUCUUGUGCCGGAAGCUGAUACGUCCUCCCAACAAAUACAACGGGAAGAAACAUCUCAUAUCAGUGAUACAGCUCGUAAUGCGUCUUACAUACUAAAAUGAUUAUUCUUGCAUUCAUUAUUUAUAUAAAAGAAAUUAGGGUUGAAUGCUAAAAAAAUUAUAAUUUUCCAUUAACAACAAGUUAUCAUAUUUGUUGCAUAUAUUUAGGGUGCAUCACUAAUCGCUGCUCCAAAAAGCAUGCUUAUCAUGGAUCUCAUUUUCUACAGAUUUAUAAAUUAGACUACAUUAGUUGGGAAGUGCGGUUAUUAAUAAAAAUUAAAUAAGAUUAUUUGUGAAAUUAUAUCACUUUCUAAAUAGCAUUACAAAAUAUAUUGUUAUAAAAGUAAAUUACAAAUGUUUAUAUUACGGAACGCCGCAACGUAUUCACUUUAAGUGCUGAACACAAAGAAGACGACACGACAGUACGUAGCGACAGCUGAUUACAAAUGUCGCUUUGAAGCCAGCGUCUUGAACAUUUUGAAGAGUUUCACUUGCCAUACUAAAAUCUUUCACUUCAAUAAAACUUACAUAUUUAGUUUAAAGUGAAAUUAUUUGUGUAAAAACUUUAAAAAUAUGUCGAUUUAUUUGUUUUAAAUAAAAGAUACAGUAUGUUAAGAAACAGUUUACACAUUGAAAAUAAAUACACUUUUGCACUUUCCGCAGCAAAUUUUUUUACUUUUUACUUCAGUUCAACAUAUUUUUUUAAUCAGGGAUGGUCACUUACAGUAUUUCAAGAGAUGUGAUGCAAAAAAAACUGCGAAAGCAAUGCAAAAACCAACCAAGAACAACAAAAAACAAAAAUCAUUCAAUUUUGUUAGUGUCAAGAAAAUCUUUACACACUUCGAUUAUUUUACUUGUUAAGCACUUAUUAUACAGUUAACCGUACUUCACCGUUACCUAUUCUUCGCAAAGGCUUUUACAAUGAAUUUGUCAAUUAGUUGGUGAUUAAUUUUUGCUUUUUUUCAUAUCUGAAGUUCCCAUUAUUGUCUUUUUAAUAUUCCAUGCAAAGGGUUUAGUUUGAAGAGGUCCAACUAUUGCCCCAUAAUCCCCAAUGGGGUGAAAACGUUUGAGAUCUAACGACAAUGCCUUCUUUAACCAUUUAAAUAGUGUAUAAUGGCUAAAAUUGAUCGGACAAUAUGGAAAUACAAGAACCAAAGCCAGAAAAAGGCCCUAAAUUAUAAAUAAGUGGACAUGUACAGUGCUUAAUGUCUCGAAAACUUGACCAAAUUCCGAAAAUUUCGAUCAGUGUUCUUACGAAAGAAUUCUAGGAAGAGUGCAAUAUUCAGAUUUCUCAUGAAACUGCGCGACAAAACAUGCUACGACAUGAACAUGCACAAAGAUCUGCCAAAAAAAAAAUGCUGUCUGCACCAAAUGUAGAGAAUCGAUUUUUGUUUGCUAUUAUUAAGUAUAUUUCUGAACCUGGGAACUACUGGGAUGAUGUCAUAUACUGGGACGAGAACAAGAACAUGUUAUAUUUCAACAAUUGGCUAACUAGAGAACGACACAAGGCAUUAUUUUCAUUAGAAAGACACAACAUCAUUUCGAUUAUUUUUUAUAGCACAUCUUGAAACAUAUGUAUUCAUGCCGUAGCAUGUUUUGGCGCGCAGUUUCAUGAGAAAUCUGAAUAUUGCACUCUUCCUAGAACUCUUUCGUAAGAACACUGAUCGAAAUUUUUAGAAUUUGGUCAAGUUUUCGAGACAUUAAGCACUGUACAUGUCCACUUAUUUAUAAUUUAGGGCCUUUUUCUGGCUUUGGUUCUUGUAUUUCCAUAUUGUCCGAUCAAUUUUAGCCAUUAUACACUAUUUAGAGGGUUAAAGAAAACAUUGCCGUUAGAUCUCAAACGUUUUCACCCCAUUGGGGAUUAUGGGGCAAUAGUUGGUACUCUUCAAACUAAACCCUUUGCAUGGAAUAUUAAAAAGACAAUAAUGGGUACUUCAGAUAUGAAAAAAAUCAAAAAUUAAUCACCAACUAAUUGACAAAUUCAUUGUAAAAGCCUUUGCGAAGAAUAGGUAACGGUGAAGUACGGUUAACUGUACAACAAGUGCUUAACAAGUAAAAUAAUCGAAGUGUGUAAAGUUUUUCUUGACACUAACAAAAUUGAAUGAUUUUUGUUUUUUGUUGUUCUUGGUUGGUUUUUGCAUUGCUUUCGCAGUUUUUUUUGCAUCACAUCUCUUGAAAUACUGUAAGUAACCAUCCCUGAUUCAAAAAAUAUGUUGAACUGAAGUAAAAAGUAAAAAAAAUUUGCUUGCGAAAAGUGAAAAAGUGUAUUUAUUUUCAAUGUGUAAACUGUUUCUUGACAUACUGUAUAUCAAAGCUAAUUUACUCUUCUGCUGGCAAAAUAGCGUCGCACAGUGAGACAACGCCGGCAUCAAAUACAAGGAGUCAUUGUAGAGCUCUGAGACAAUUCCAGUUAAAAAAAAAAAAUUAAGAAAAUUCGCCCACUUUUACGCCCACCUGCCAUACAGUCGAAAUUUGUAAAAUGCCGUAUUGUCCGUAAUACUUUAGGUAUAACUUUCAAUUUUGGUAUACUUGAAUGUUAUAUAGUUACAAACAUUAUUUGAAAUAAAAAUUGAACUUUGGCCCACUUUUAACCCCACCACCCAUACUACCUCAACAUAAAAAGUGCCAUAUUAAAUACAACCUUGAAAUUCUAUAUUACUGUAAUUUAUAUCAUUUAAAAUGUUUCAUGCAAAAAUUACAAUAACACGCCCACUAAUACGCCCACCUCCCAAUGAAAUGCAAUAAAAAAACAAUAUUUUUUUUUCAUUCAAUCAAUAAUUUUUUAACAUCAUCAUGGUAUUCUAAUUUUUUCAAUUUGUUUCUCAUUCUAAAUGAAUUAAGGAUGUGAUGAUAUUUGCAAAUAGUGCAUUACAUCUUCAUUCGUAGAAAUACGUGAAUUUUUACGAGAAUGGAAUAGCCUACAGUUUCUAUACUCCUUAUUCAUUGCUUCUUGCGCUUCUUCGGAUAACAUUCCUGUAGCAAAAAAAAAAGUUAAAAUUAAAUAAAGUUUAAAAAAAUUCUUUCAAAAAUAAAAAUUGCAAACAAACCUAUUGGCAAUAUAGCCUCAGAUAACAUUUUGCUGCCGUGAAUGAGAACUUUAUGCACAGUGAUGGGCAUGUAGUACCAGCCAUAAAGCUCUACAUAUAAUUUUGCAGUGUCCAUGCAAUACGUAUGGAAUUUACCAACAUCUAUAUUUAUACUCUCGCAACCUGUUGCACAGAGUAUCAUAGUUUUGUUCACAUAACGGUUGUUUGUGUCACCAAGAAAUAUAAGAGUUAGAUAUGGGGUUAUAUAUACAUAAAUGAUCAGGAUGACGAGUAGAUUUGAAAUCCGGAUGUCUGUCCGUCUGUCCGUCUGUCCGUGCAAGCGAUAACUUGAGUAAAAAUUAAGAUAUCUUAAUGAAAGUUGGAACACAUGUUCCUUGGCAUCCUGAGGAGGUUGCUUUCGAAAAUGGGCAAAAUCGGUCCACUGCCACGCCCACAAAAUGGAGGAAACCGAAAACCUAUACAGUGUCAUAACUAAGUCAUAAAUAAAGUUAUGAAAAUGAAAUUUGGAACAUAGGAUCCCAUUAGGGAGGGGCACAUUUGGAUGUAAUUUUUUUGGAAAAGUGGGCGUGACCCCGCCCUCAAAUAAGUUUUUUGUAUAUAACUCGCAAACCAAUAAAGCUAAAUAAGCCAAACUUUCUGCAGUCGUUUUUUUUAGCCAUGUCCUUAUACAGUCCAAAAAUGAAAAAAAUCGGAUAAUAACCACGCCCACCUCCCAUACAAAGGUUAGGUUGAAAAUUACUAAAAGUGGGUUAACUCCCUAACGAAAAACGUCAGAAACACCAAAUUUUACAUAAGAAAUGGCAGAAGAAAGCUGCACUGAGAUUUUUUUACAAAAUGGAAAAUGGGCGUGGCGUCGCCCACUUAUGGGUCAAAAACCAUAUCUCAAGAACUAUUCGACCGAUUUCAAUGAAAUUCGGUAUAUAACACUUUCUUGACACCCUGAUGACACGGGUGGAAUAUGGGCGAAAUCGGUUCACAACUACGUCUACUUCCCAUAUAACCCAAUUUUGAAUUCCAUCUGAUUCGUUCACUUUAUAAUGUAUUCAUAAGGAACCAAUGAAGCUAGCGAAAUAAAACUUUACACAAAUACUGUAUUUGAGCUGUGACAUCACUUGUGGAAAAAUUUUCAAAAUCGGACCAUGACUUUUCAAGGCCCCUGAUAUCAAGCAUGAAGAACUCAGUGCCUAAGGUUAAUUUUUCACCGAAAAUAUAGGUAAAUCCCUCAGAUAUUUUAAUGUAAUUCAUUCCCUCUGAAUUUUUUUCUUAUAACAGUUUCUCUCUGUACCUGAAAUGGUAAAAAUCGGGUCAUAAUUUCCCCCAGAUCCUAUAUACCUAAUUAUAAGUAAUAUUAAAUUAAGUGAUCGUAUAGUCUUCGAUACAUUGUAUCUUGGUGGUGAAAACGAGUGAAAUCGGUUUAGGAAUUACCUCAGUCCCCAUAUACUAUUUAUGAUGAUUUUCGUUAUUCUAUUGAACUUUAUACCAAAUAUAUGGGUCGACUUGUGUUAUCUUUAUAAAAUUACAUCAUUAAAUUGCGAGAGUAUAAAAUGUUCGGUUACACCCGAACUUAGCCCUUCCUUACUUGUUUUAAUACUAUUUAUAGUAUUUAAUAUAAUUUUAAAGCGGUGAAUUAAGUCUACAUUUACACCAGUUAUGUCAGCGGUUAUUUCUGGAUCUUCAAAAAAUUUUCUAGAGACAUUACCAUCAUUGGUUGUUCCCAUGCCUUGUUUCACCACAUCUACUUUUAAGCCCAGAACUAAUUUGAAAUUUUUUUCCAUUUCUGUUUUAACAGCUUCUUUCUGUUCUUUUGUAUCUUUAUUUGUCCUCCACGCUUUGAAACUUUUAUUAUAACCGAUAUGUAAUAUACAUUCCAUGAAUUUUAUUCUUUUUAUUAUUCUUAUUUUAUUAUUUUUUUUUAUAUAGCGGCAAAAUUCCAAAUUUCAAUGCUUCAGCUGAAUUUGUUCUCAAAAUAACUGCAUCCAAAUUAUUCAUUUCAUUAGGUUUUGCUCCACAUAUGAAACAAACAGCCAUCGAGCAAUUCUUACUGACUGUUGUUGCCACUUUUCCGUCAAUCAUCGUCAUAGUUAAACUAUGAGAUAUCGCAAACUUUUUGUUGAACAUUUCGAAUUCUGUCGUUUUUAAACUUUGAAUUUCUGCAUUUACACGAUUUACUUUCUUUACUUUACUACUACUGAAUUUACCCAACACGAAACAGUGUGAUCAAGUAAUUCUUGUAAUCCAACACUGCUAAAACUUUCAUCAACCUUAAUAUUUGCAGGAUAGCAUUUUUUUAUACUCUCGCAACAAAAGUUGCUAAGAGAGUAUUAUAGUUUUGUUCACCUAACGGUUGUUUGUAAGUCAUAAAACUAAACAAGUUAGAUAUAGGGUUAUAUAUAUCAAAAUGGUCAGGGUGACAAGACGAGUCAAAAUCCGAAUGUCUGUCUGUCCGUCCGUCCGUCCGUCCAUGCAACGGAUAACUUGAGUAUAAAUUGAGAUAUCUUAACGAAACUUGGAACACGUAUUCCUUGGCACCCUGAGGAGGUUGCUUUCGAAAAUGGGCAAAAUCGGACCACUGCCACGCCCACAAAAUGGCGAAAACCGAAAACACAUAAAGUGUAUGACACUAAGCCACAAAUAAAGUUAUGAAAAUAAAAUUUGGAACAUAGGAUCGUAUUAGGGAGGGGCACAUUUGGAUGUAAUUUUUUUGAAAAAGUGGGAGCGACCCAGCCCUCAAAUAAGUUUUUUGUAUAUAACUCGCAAACCAAUAAAGCUAUAUAAACCAAACUUUCUGCAGUCGUUUCUUUUAGCCGUUUCCUUAUACAGUCCAAAAAUGAAAGAAAUCGGAUAAUAACCACGCCCACUUCCCAUACAAAGGUUAGGUUGAAAAUGAGUAAAAGUGGGUUAACUCACUAACGAGAAACGUCAGAAACACUAAAUUUUACAGAAGAAAUAGCAGAAGGAAGCUGCACUCAGAUUUUUUUACAAAAUGAAAAAUGGGCGUGGCAUCUCCCACUUAUGGGUCAAAAACCAUAUCUCAGGAACUACUCGACCGAUUUCAAUGAAAUUCGGUAUAUAAUACUUUCUUGACACCCUGAUGACACAUGUGAAAAAUAAAUAAAAUCGGUUCAUAACCACGACAACUUCCCAUAUAACUCAAUUUUGAAUUCCAUCUGAUUCCUUUACUUUAUAAUCUAUACAUAAGGAACCAAUGAAGAUAGCGGAAUAAAACUUUACACAAAUAGUAUGUACAUAUAGGCUGGUAUUGUCACCGGCGAAGCGAACGUACUUGGCGAAUCGAACGCUUUGGCGAAAAUUCGACUCGUUCGUAUUGUGACUGGCGAAUGAACACAUUCGCCUAACUUUUUUGUUGCCAUACCAAAAUAAUUGAAAAAUGUCACAAAUGUUCAUUGAUUGUGAAUGAAAUGCUCCCAAUAUUGGAAACCACUCUUUGCAGUGUAUGGAUCAAAACCGAUAUAAGUGAAGAACAUAAUCAACUAACAAGAAGAAAAUUUUAUACCAAUUCCGGAAUUCCAAAUGUGGUUGGAUGCGUUGAUGGAACGCAUGUUGCGAUUAUUGCUCCAAGUGUAAACAAGCACUUAUAUCUAAAUCGAAAGGGAUUUUUCAGCAUAAACGCAAUGAUUGCGUGCGAUCAUGAUAUGGUAAUAAGGUGCGUUGAUGCAAGAUAUGGUGGAUCUUCCCACGACUCAUUUGUGUAGAAUAAUAGCACAUUAAAAACAUAUUUGGAACGGACAUACCAAAGAGGAGAUCACAAUUUAGUUUAUUUAGCUGAUUCUGGUUAUCCACUACACCUUACCGAAAUGCUUUAUCAGGAACAGUGGAAUCAAAAUUUAAUAAAAAACAAACAAAGGCAAGGAACUUAGUUGAAAGGACAAUUGGAGUGCUAAAAUGCCGUUUUCGUUGUAUACUAGGUGAACGUAAACUUCGAUAUUCUCCUAGUAAAGCAACAAUGAUUGUUAAUGUGUGCUGUGCUUUACACAAUAUUUGUAAGCAGUAUGGCGUUAAUGAUCCUGAACAAGAAACUUUCGUUGAUGUAGUAGUACCACUGGAACCAGUUGAAGAAAACUUCAGUGAUUCAGCAGCGGAUCGUCGCCGAAGACAAAUAGCUAAUUCUUUGUAAAUAUUGUAGUUACAUCCCUAAAUGCAUUAGUACAUAAGUUUGUGUAAUAUAUAAUUAAAAAUAA